rnacentral:lncRNA from 1 species
CGCCGGGCGCAGCAAGGGCCAGACUCUGCGCUAGCAGGCGCUGCGCGCCAACCGGCCGGCACCUGUCGCAGAAGGUGCAACCGAUCGCACUGUCGCGCAGAAGCUCCUCAAUGGCCAGCGCCAGCUGCAGCCCCGGCCGCCCACUCGCCUCAUCUGAGCCUGGGCAAAUCUGGAUUGGGAAAGUUGACAUUAAUCAACUCAUUAUUCCUCACAGAUUUGUAUUCUCCAGAGUAUCCAGGUCCUUCUCAGAGAAUUAAAAAGCCUGUACAGCGCUGCUCUAAGCUGUUGAUGAAAAAUAUUGUUGGUGAGCUCUGCUUAGGUAAUAUAUAGGACAUGAGCAGAGAGGAGGCACGUGAACAGUUCUGGCCUGGAGUAGGCUUCAUUGAGGCUGUGAUGCUUUUAGCUGGAUUUGAAGAAGUGGUAGUGAUCAUCCCAGUGCACAGGAUAGGUGGACAGUCUAUGUAUUCUGAGCAGUAACUCAUAUAUCUCAUACUGCAAGACCCCAAAGGAGUAAUUUUGUGAACUCUGUUCACGGAAAGGGCCUGGGAGCUGCAACACCUCAACAGCAACAAGCACACCUGCUACCUAGAACUUGGUUUCUAAAAACCAUCCUCCUCUAAAAGGAAACAGAGCUCUUUGAAGAAACGGGUCUCCCUAUGUUGCCCAGGCUGGCCUCAAACUCCUGGGCUCAAGUUAUCCUCCUGCCUCGGCCUCCCAAAAUGCUGGGAUUGCAGGCAUGAGUGACCGCACCUGGCCACCUUUCCACAUUUAAGAGAUCCCUGGGAUACUGCGAAGCAGGAGUCCAUCUCCAGACAUGAGGAGCAGGUGGGCUAAAGGAAACAGGACUGGGGAGUCUUGGAGGGGCAGAGCAAUGCCCAGGGACACAGAAACUUUUGAAUAAAGACAAGAGAGACCGA